GGCCGAGCCCUCGAUGCCUCCCGUCUGACGGAGGCGCCCGGGAAGCGCCGCCCACCUCGGCCCCGCACCCUCGCCGGCCUGCCGGGUCUCCGCCAGCCCUAGCAGACAGAGAGGGGCGCCGGUCCCUAGUCCCCCAGACCUCCAUUCAAGGUCAAAACUUUGCCCAGCUCAGCCUUGCUCGACCCUGGGCAGGGAAGCGCGGACAUCGGCAGAGGGAGCCCGAGGCUCUCCGUGCCCUUCGCGCCGGUCAAGAACUGUGGAAUCUUUCAGAUGAUAUUCUGAUACUUCUGGACCAAGAUUGAAUUUGUUCUUCAUGAAAAAUGUCUGGGACCUUUUAUGUGGGAGGAGCCAAGAUGGCCGAAUAGGAAAAGCUCCGGUCUACAGCUCCCAGCGUGAGCAACGCAGAAGACGGGUGAUUUCUGCAUUUCCAUCUGAGGGUGUACUCCAUCUACUUUUAAAAACAAAAAGUUCACUGUAAAACAGCCUCAGGUAGGCCGUUCAGUAGGUAUUCCAGAAGAAGGUAUUGUCAUCAUAGGAGAUGGACAGCUCCAAGGGUGUUUAUUGCCCCUGAAGACUUUCUAGUGGAACAAGAUGUGGAGGUGGAAGACACUGAUGUUGGUGAUCCUGACUCAGUGCAGGCCUAAGCUAAUGUGGGUGUUUGUGUCUUAGUUUUUAACUAAAGGUUUAAAAAGUAAAAAUAAAACAUUAAAAAAAAUUUUUGUACACCUGAACAAUGUCUUUGUGUUUUAAGCUAAGUUAUUACAAAAGGGUCAAAAAACUAAAAAAAUUAAAAGUUAACAAGGUAAAGAAGUUACAGUAAGCUAAGGCUAAUUUAUUAUUGAAGAAAAAUAUUUUUUAAAACAAAUUUAGUGUAGGCUGGACACAAUGGCUCACACCUGUAAUCUCAGCACUUUGGGAGGCUGAGACAGGUGGAUCACUUGAGGCCAGGAGUUCAAGACCAGCCUAGGCAACAUGGUGAAACCCUAUCUCUAUUAAAAAUACAAAAAUUACCCGGGCAUCAUGGCCCAUAAUCCCAGUUACUUGGAAGCUGAGGCAGGAGAAUUGCUUGAACCUGGGAGGCAGAGGUUGCAGUGAGCCGAGAUCACGC
rnacentral:lncRNA from 1 species